CGGUUAAGUUAGAAAGGGCGCACGGUGGAUGCCUUGGCACUAGGAGCCGAUGAAGGACGGGACGAACACCGAUAUGCUUCGGGGAGCUGUAAGCAAGCUUUGAUCCGGAGAUUUCCGAAUGGGGAAACCCACCACUCGUAAUGGAGUGGUAUCCAUAUCUGAAUACAUAGGAUAUGAGAAGGCAGACCCGGGGAACUGAAACAUCUAAGUACCCGGAGGAAGAGAAAGCAAAUGCGAUUCCCUGAGUAGCGGCGAGCGAAACGGGAUCAGCCCAAACCAAGAGGCUUGCCUCUUGGGGUUGUAGGACACUCUGUACGGAG
rnacentral:rRNA from 1 species